rnacentral:rRNA from 1 species
UACGUAGGGGGCUAGCGUUGUCCGGAAUCAUUGGGCGUAAAGCGCGUGUAGGCGGCCCGGUAAGUCCGCUGUGAAAGUCGGGGGCUCAACCCUCGAAAGCCGGUGGAUACUGUCGGGCUCGAGUGCGGAAGAGGAGAGUGGAAUUCCUGGUGUAGCGGUGAAAUGCGCAGAUAUCAGGAAGAACACCCGUGGCGAAGGCGGCUCUCUGGGACGGUACUGACGCUGAGACGCGAAAGCGUGGGGAGCGAACAGG